UACGUAGGGUGCAAGCGUUGUCCGGAAUUAUUGGGCGUAAAGAGCUCGUAGGCGGUUUGUCGCGUCUGCUGUGAAAACUGGAGGCUCAACCUCCAGCCUGCAGUGGGUACGGGCAGACUAGAGUGCGGUAGGGGAGAUUGGAAUUCCUGGUGUAGCGGUGGAAUGCGCAGAUAUCAGGAGGAACACCGAUGGCGAAGGCGGCUCUCUGGGACGGUACUGACGCUGAGACGCGAAAGCGUGGGGAGCAAACAGG
rnacentral:rRNA from 1 species